GACGAACGCUGGCGGCGUGCCUAACACAUGCAAGUCGAACGGGGUGUUCCUUCGGGGACACUUAGUGGCGAACGGGUGAGUAACGCGUGAGAAACCUGCCUUUCAGUGGGGGACAACAGUUGGAAACGACUGCUAAUACCGCAUAAUGUUAUUUGAGGGCAUCCUUGAAUAACCAAAGCUUUAUGUGCUGAAAGAUGGUCUCGCGUCUGAUUAGCUAGUUGGUGGGGCAACGGCCUACCAAGUCGACGAUCAGUAGCCGGUCUGAGAGGAUGAACGGCCACAUUGGGACUGAGAUACGGCCCAGACUCCUACGGGAGGCAGCAGUGGGGAAUAUUGGGCAAUGGGGGAAACCCUGACCCAGCAACGCCGCGUGAAGGAAGAAGGGCCUUCGGGUUGGUAAACUUCUUUUAGUUAGGGACGGAAUACAUGACGGUACCUACAGAAAAAG
rnacentral:rRNA from 1 species